GAUGAUGGAUGUGGAGGGCGGCCGGGCGGUGCGACGGAGCAGGGGAACCGGGAGGCUGGCGGUGAUGGUGGCCGUGCUGAACCUGCUGGUGGUGACCUGCAUGCUGGUCACCUUCUACAUCUACAUGAAGCCAGUUAUGCCAGAAGAUGAUGUGUACAUACUCUUUGAAGAACUCAGAGGGCUCAGCUCCAACAUGUCUCUGGAGUUCAGCGACGACGCCAUCUCAUACAAACAUAGGAUGACAAACGACAAAGGC